CUGAAUCCACAAACUUGUCAGAAGACAAUUGCUAGGCCCUUGACCCUCCAGCAGCAGGAACUGGGCUACUCCAGUGACAAGGAGAGCAGCUGGGGAAUACUCUCCAAAUCCUGUCUCACAGAGGCUUCUAUGACAUCCCCUUCUCCUUCUUUUCAGUUCCUGGUCACAUCUGCAAUCAAAAGUGUUCUGACUACUGGCUGCUGUAACUGAGGCAAAAGUGAAGGGCCCUGUGGAGUGUCGGUAGAGGGAGGGAGAGGUCCCUUCAAUAUGAAGACUCCAUGUGGUGUUGAAAGAAGAGAGAUGUUAUUCCUUUCUCAUUCCUGACUUUGUCCUUCCCCCAUCAGGGUCAGAGCUCUCUGCUGUGG
ensembl:lncRNA